GAAAAAUGAAUUUGCAAGCGAAUGAAAGAAGUUGGAAGACCCACUGGGAAAAUCGUAAAAGGAAUUCAUUCAUCAAGGAAUUCCAGUCAACAAGUGCGUAGAACUCCCUUUAGCAAAGAAAAGAGAAUUAAUGCAAUGCAUCGAAAUAAAUUAACAUAAAUCACACUGAAAGUUUAAUGCACGACAAUUGAGUCUCGCCAUCAACUAUCGAAGGGCACAAACUCGAUUAUCUCCACUUUACAAGAAAUCAAAUUCAUUCAAAGAUAAGAAAUUGAUUUAUCAGCGAAGGAAGUCAAUCAGCAGCAAAUGCCGGGAAUGUGAU
ensembl:ncRNA lncRNA:CR44734 long non-coding RNA:CR44734